AUACGGAAGGUCCGGGCGUUAUCCGGAUUUAUUGGGUUUAAAGGGAGCGCAGGCGGAGAUGCAAGCGUGACGUCAAAUUUCGGAGCUCAACCCCGUCUCGCGUCGCGAACUGCGUCCCUUGGUUGCGGGAAGGGGAGGCGGAACUCGUGGUGUAGCGGUGAAAUGCAUAGAUAUCACGAAGAACUCCGAUCGCGAAGGCAGCCUUCCGGCCCGUCAACGACGCUCAUGCUCGAAGGUGCGGGUAUCAAACAGGAUUAGAUACCCUGGUAGUCCGCACAGUAAACGAUGGACACCCGCGGUUUGGCCUGUAUGGCUGAGCCGCCAAGCGAAAGCGUUAAGUGUCCCACCUGGGGAGUACGCCGGCAACGGUGAAACUCAAAUGAAUUGACGGGG
rnacentral:rRNA from 1 species